rnacentral:rRNA from 1 species
GGAAAAGUUGACCUCAUCAGAGGCACGCCAUUCGACUGAGUGACCUAUCAGCUUGUACUUAGGGUCUUUACCUAGGUAGGCUAUCACGGGUAACGGGCGGUUACCGUCGGACUGCCGGAGAAGGCGCCUGAGAGAUAGCGACUAUAUCCACGGGUAGCAGCAGGCGCGAAACUUUCCCACUCGAGACUUUCGGAGGAGGUAAUGACCAGUUCCAUUGGUGCCUUUUGGUACUGUGGAUAGGGGUACGGUUUUCCACCGUACCGAAACCUAGCAGAGGGCCAGUCUGGUGCCAGCAGCUGCGGUAAUUCCAGCUCUGCGAGUUUGCUCCCAUAUUGUUGCAGUUAAAACGCCCGUAGUCUGAAUUGGCCAGCAAUGGUCGUACGUAUUUUUACGUUCACUGUGAACAAAUCAGGACGCUUAGAGUAUGGCCACAUGAAUGACUCAGCGCAGUAUGAAGUCUUUGUUUUCUUCCGAAAACAAGCUCAAUGAGAGCCAUCGGGGGUAGAUCUAUCUCAUGACGAGUGGUGGAAUACUUUGACUCAUGAGAGAGAAGCUGAGGCGAAGGCGUCUACCUAGAGGGUUUCUGUCGAUCAAGGGCGAGAGUAGGAGUAUCCAACAGGAUUAGAGACCCUGGUAGUUCCUACCUUAAACGAUGCCGACAGGAGUUUGUCAUUUGUUAAUGGCAGAAUCUUUGGAGAAAUCAUAGUUCUUGGGCUCUGGGGGAACUACGACCGCAAGGCUGAAACUUGAAGGAAUUGACGGAAGGGCACACCAGGGGUGGAGCCUGUGGCUUAAUUUGAAUCAACACGGGGAAACUUACCAGGACCAGAUGUUUUUUAUGACUGACAGGCUUCGGGUCUUUCAGGAUAUUGUUUUUGGUGGUGCAUGGCCGUUGGUGGUGCGUGGGUUGACCUGUCUAGCGUUGAUUCA